rnacentral:rRNA from 1 species
GUUAAGCGACUAAGCGUACACGGUGGAUGCCCUGGCAGUCAGAGGCGAUGAAGGACGUGCUAAUCUGCGAUAAGCGUCGGUGAGGUGAUAUGAACCGUUAUAACCGGCGAUUUCCGAAUGGGGAAACCCAGUGUGUUUCGACACACUAUCAUUAACUGAAUCCAUAGGUUAAUGAGGCGAACCGGGGGAACUGAAACAUCUAAGUACCCCGAGGAAAAGAAAUCAACCGAGAUUCCCCCAGUAGCGGCGAGCGAACGGGGAGGAGCCCAGAGCCUGAAUCAGUGUGUGUGUUAGUGGAAGCGUCUGGAAAGGCGUGCGAUACAGGGUGACAGCCCCGUACACAAAAAUGCACAUAUUGUGAGCUCGAUGAGUAGGGCGGGACACGUGGUAUCCUGUCUGAAUAUGGGGGGACCAUCCUCCAAGGCUAAAUACUCCUGACUGACCGAUAGUGAACCAGUACCGUGAGGGAAAGGCGAAAAGAACCCCGGCGAGGGGAGUGAAAAAGAACCUGAAACCGUGUACGUACAAGCAGUGGGAGCCUCUUAAUGGGGUGACUGCGUACCUUUUGUAUAAUGGGUCAGCGACUUAUAUUCUGUAGCAAGGUUAACCGAAUAGGGGAGCCGAAGGGAAACCGAGUCUUAACUGGGCGUUAAGUUGCAGGGUAUAGACCCGAAACCCGGUGAUCUAGCCAUGGGCAGGUUGAAGGUUGGGUAACACUAACUGGAGGACCGAACCGACUAAUGUUGAAAAAUUAGCGGAUGACUUGUGGCUGGGGGUGAAAGGCCAAUCAAACCGGGAGAUAGCUGGUUCUCCCCGAAAGCUAUUUA